AGCUUUUUGUAAAUAUAAAAAGUAUCACCUGCCCAAUGAGAUAUUAAAUGGCCGCAGUAUUAUAACUGUGCAAAGGUAGCAUAAUCAUUUGUUUUAUAAAUUAAAACUUGUAUGAAUGGUAAAAUGUAAAUAUAACUAUCUUUUAUUUAUAAAUAAAAUUUAUCUUUUCAGUGAAGAGACUGAAAAUUUUUAGAAAGACGAGAAGACCCUAAUGAGUUUUAUAUAUAAUAUUUAUUAUUGAAUAUUAUAUAUUUUAUUGGGGAGAUUAAAGAAUAUAUCUUCUUUUUAAAGAUUAAAAUAAUAAUUAAUGAACCAUUAAUAAUGAAUAUAAGUUUAAAUUACCAUAGGGAUAACAGCAUAAUCUUUUUUAAGAGUACAUAUCGACAAAAUGGGUUGUGACCUCGAUGUUGGAUUAAGAAUAUUUUAAAAUGUAGAAGUUUUAAAAAUAAGUCUGUUCGACUUUUAAAAUCUUACA
rnacentral:rRNA from 1 species